rnacentral:rRNA from 1 species
CCUACGGGGGGCAGCAGUGGGGAAUAUUGCACAAUGGGGGAAACCCUGAUGCAGCGACGCCGCGUGAGUGAAGAAGUAUUUCGGUAUGUAAAGCUCUAUCAGCAGGGAAGAAAAUGACGGUACCUGUUUAAGAAGCCCCGGCGAACUACGUGCCAGCAGCCGCGGUAAUACGUAGGGGGCAAGCGUUAUCCGGAUUUACUGGGUGUAAAGGGAGCGUAGACGGCAGCACAAGUCUGGAGUGAAAUGCCGGGGCUUAACCCCGGAACUGCUUUGGAAACUGUGCAGCUAGAGUGCAGGAGAGGUAAGUGGAAUUCCUAGUGUAGCGGUGAAAUGCGUAGAUAUUAGGAGGAACACCAGUGGCGAAGGCGGCUUACUGGACUGUAACUGACGUUGAGGCUCGAAAGCGUGGGGAGCAAACAGGAUUAGAUACCCCUGUAGUC